AUUGAACGCUGGCGGCAGGCCUAACACAUGCAAGUCGAACGAGUGGCGGACGGGGGAGUAAUGUCUGGGAAACUGCCCGAUGGAGGGGGAUAACUACUGGAAACGGUAGCUAAUACCGCAUACCAUCGGAUGUGCGCAGGUGGGAUUAGCUAGUAGGUGGGGUAACGGCUCACCUAGGCGACGAUCCAUAGCUGGUCUGAGAGGAUGACCAGCCACACUGGAACUGAGACACGGUCCAGACUCCUACGGGAGGCAGCAGUGGGGAAUAUUGGACAAUGGGCGAAAGCCUGAUGGAGCCAUGCCGCGUGUGUGAAGAAGGUCUUCGGGUUGUAAAGCACUUUCAGUGAGGAGGCGUUACUCGCAGAAGAAGCACCGGCUAACUCCGUGCCAGCAGCCGCGGUAAUAC
rnacentral:rRNA from 1 species